rnacentral:lncRNA from 1 species
GAAGUGUGAAUGGCCUCCAGCACCAAAGACCCUCAUGGAGGGCCUGUUGUUCCUGCAAAGAGGAGGCUUGGCAUCGUUUAAAUGGGUGAAGUACGAGGCUCGCCUUCACCCUGGCCAGCUGAACCUGCUCCCCAUCAGCCGACGGGCGGUAGAUGAGGAGCAGUCCUUGCCAUUUGUCAUUCAUUUCUCAGACGGGGACAAUAGCUUAGAGAAGCAGCACAGCUGUGACACCUUCACUCUGCUGACACACAACAAUGAGUACCAGUUCCGGGUACAUGUGAGAGACCAUUCUAAGAGCACAGAAGCCAUCCAGAG